UACGUAGGGUGCAAGCGUUGUCCGGAAUUACUGGGCGUAAAGCGCCCGUAGGCGGCUUUGUAAGUUAGAGGUGAAAGCCCGGGGCUCAACUCCGGAAUUGCCUUUAAGACUGCAUCGCUAGAAUUGUGGAGAGGUAAGUGGAAUUCCGAGUGUAGAGGUGAAAUUCGUAGAUAUUCGGAAGAACACCAGUGGCGAAGGCGACUUACUGGACACAUAUUGACGCUGAGGUGCGAAAGCGUUGGGGAGCAAACAGG
rnacentral:rRNA from 1 species